GUUGUGUUUGUUGAUGAGCAGAUGUGUGCCUGGAAAAAGCCGGAGUAUGUUCAGCCGGAACAGGUUCCUUAUGAUGAGCACAGGUACAGAGCCCAACAGCAUGGGGGCCAGUACGGGGGCCACUGUAAAAGUGGCCCUACAGUAUUUAAUGAUGUCAGGUAUGGGGCCCCAAACAUUGAGGACCAUACAGUCAACACCGUCUUGCAGAAAGCGGAGUAUUACCCCCAACAAAAUCCUGGCCCCUCAACCAUCCCUUCCAUUCCAGCUGUGGUACACCAUGUUGAGCUCCCAACCUUUACCCCCCCACCUAAUGCCAUGCCUCCAGGGACGUAUAGAGAUCCCACUUUUGGAAAAGAGUAAGUAAAACCAACAGAAAGAUUAGGUCAAACACAGGCGUUACUUUAUGUGUGACAUGAUUUCUGA
rnacentral:lncRNA from 1 species